CCUACGGGUGGCAGCAGUGAGGAAUAUUGGUCAAUGGGCGAGAGCCUGAACCAGCCAAGUCGCGUGAGGGAAGACGGUCCUACGGAUUGUAAACCUCUUUUGUCAGGGAGCAAGGAGCGCCACGAGUGGUGCGGCGAGAGUACCUGAAGAAUAAGCUCCGGCUAACUACGUGCCAGCAGCCGCGGUAAUACGUAGGGAGCAAGCGUUGUUCGGAAUGACUGGGCGUAAAGGGUGCGUAGGCGGUUAUACAAGUUAGAAGUGAAAUACCCAGGGCUUAACUCGGGUGCUGCUUCUAAAACUGUAAGACUUGAGUGCAGUAGAGGUUAGUGGAAUUCCUAGUGUAGCGGUGGAAUGCGUAGAUAUUAGGAGGAACACCAGAGGCGAAGGCGGCUAACUGGACUGCAACUGACGCUGAGGCACGAAAGUGUGGGGAGCAAACAGGAUUAGAUACCCUGGUAGUC
rnacentral:rRNA from 1 species